rnacentral:misc_RNA from 1 species
GCAAAAUUAAAUUAGAUACUUGUUGUGGACCAAGACCUUGAACAAUGCAUUUAACUAAAAGAAAUAUAAUAUUUCAGAAUUCUGCCUCUUUCUUUCUCUCUCACAGACACACACAUGCACGCGUGCACACAUGCACACAAAGAGGUACAUAAUUGAAUCCAAAAGCUCAAAUUGCUUGUCAAGAAGUUACAAUGAUUUGAUUGCAAAGGAUAUCUGGUUUGCUGUGGAUCCAUUAUAUUAUAUCUAGGGGGCCCUUCUUUUUAUUUGAUAUGUCAGAAAUUCAGACUUCUAAAACCUUAGAAGGUACAAGUGAUUGGAAUAUUAAGUACUGGGUCAAGUUUUUAUUAGUGUUUGGAUCCAAAAUUGAGUCAUCUAAGGUCUAAUUGGUAUUGCUUGAUUGAUGUUUAUUACUUAAUGCUGUCUUCAUACAGCACAUUUAUAGGUGGUAACUGGUAAUUUUUAUAUUGCAACACAAUGCUUCAAUAGGCCAAUAACUGAAUAAACAUUCAGUGCAUGAUUGAUUUCCUGAUAAUCAUCUACCAAGCAUCUACAUGGCUUAUAGAAAUUAACUUGAGCAUACUAGCAUGAUUACUUAGUUGUUAGCAAUUUGGUGGUAGAAGCUGGACUUUGGACACUCUGGUUGUUCUUUUAUCCCUACGAAUUGGCAACCAAUAAGCAAUGAUAGAGGUCACUUUAAAAAGGGGAUUUGUGGUAACAAGUUUAGGAAGACAAACUCAAUUCUCUCUCUUUCUCUGUUUCUGUCUCUUGUGUGUGUGUGUGUGUGU